AUACACUGAAAACAAAAAUCAACAUUUCAUGAUGGAACGACUGAAGAGCUGUUCAGUUCAUGAACCAUCUUACAGUCAGUGCAAAGAAACUGGGAGGUUCUUGCUUUAAUAGCCCUGAGUCUCUCAGAUGGUCAG